rnacentral:lncRNA from 1 species
AUUAUUAAACUUAGUUAUGAGAAAUGACUGAGUAGUGACUGUGUAUAUGAAGUUUACUGUGUAUAUGAAGGUUACUGUGUAUAAGAUGUCGGUAAUUAGAAGAAAACCCUAAUUACUGUUGUUUGUCGAUAAUUAGGACAAACCCUAAUUAUUACAACCCUAAUCGGUUGAAGUUAGAGAUCGUAAUGACUGUGUUAGAACAUACACAGAUAAUUAGAGAACCCUAAUGGUCAAUUAGAAACCCUAAUUGAUGGCGUUAAGAAACCCUAAUUAGAAAAUCCUAAUUUUCUAUAGAAAACCCUAAUUUAAAAUUAUCGGGUUUAAUUACGAUGUUAAUGUAUAAAUGUUUUAAUUUACCAAAGGAUGAAAAGUAAUUGGUAAAUAAUAAGAAUUACCAUCUAGUGAUUAAAUAUUACAUUUAAUUGCCAUGUACAAGAAUGCCCAUGAAAUUAUAUGGGAAAUUACCAAAAUACCCUUUUUGUCCAUUUUAGUGUAUUAUUAGUAGCAUUGUUGAUGGAAUCUUCAAUUAUGCUAGCUAAUCAAUGGCUUCUAGAAUUCCCUCAUGCUACUAUACCAUUACACCUCAAUUAUACCAACCCUAUUGAGCAUCCAAGGCACUUGACAUGGUCUAUAUAUAGAGAUUGAGGGAGAAAUAAUGCAAAUGCACACUAAUAUUUUCUAAACUCUCUAGCCACACUCUCUCAAGCUUUAGCCAACGAAAUUCUCUUACCCAUAAGCUCCUAAUCAAAGCCCAACCAUUACAAACAACAAAUCAGAAGCAUCAAAGCCAAAAAAAUCAGAAAUCGAAGCUAGAAAAGGUAUGAAAUUCCCUAAUUUUGAAAUCUUUCGAUUCUAUGUUAAUUGAUGCAAUUGAUUGUUUAAAGUAGUGUAAUAGGG